rnacentral:rRNA from 1 species
CUUGUGUGCAAUGUCAUCUCACUGGGGUCACGUUUGUAAAAUCUCGUGGUCCUUUUGGGAUUUAUAUCUACUCAGAACUUUAGUCAUUUUGUCUGAAACAUAUUAUGAAUAACUUAAUUCAAAAUACAACUUUCAACAACGGAUCUCUUGGCUCUCGCAUCGAUGAAGAACGCAGCGAAAUGCGAUACGUAAUGUGAAUUGCAGAAUUCAGUGAAUCAUCGAAUCUUUGAACGCAUAUUGCGCUCUCUGGUAUUCCGGAGAGCAUGCUUGUUUGAGUAUCAGUAAACACCUCAACUCCCUUUCUUCUUGAAAUGGAGCUGGACUUGAGUGAUCCCAACGCUUUAUUCAUAAAGUGGCGGGUUACUUGAAAUGCAGGUGCAGCUGGACUUUUCUCUGAGCUAUAAGCAUAUCUAUUUAGUCUGCCUCAAAACAGAUUAUUACCUUUGCUGCAGCUAACAUAAAGGAGAUUAGUUCUUGUGCUGACUGAUGCAGGAUUCACAAAGACCGCUUCGGCUGU